AGUUAGAAAGCGAACGUCGCACCCAGUUUCGACCUGGGCCCCGGUAAAAUACCUCUAACUA
rnacentral:tRNA from 1 species